CUGAAUAACUCAGUUGAUCGCACAGUCCUCGCACUGGCGACGUAUCUUUCAAGUGUCUGCCUUAUCAACUGUCGAUGGUAGUUUAUACGACUACCAUGGUUGUAACGGGUAACGGAGAAUAAGGGUUCGACUCCGGAGAGGGAGCCUGAGAAACGGCUACCACAUCCAAGGAAGGCAGCAGGCGCGCAAAUUACCCACUCUCAGUACGAGGAGGUAGUGACGAAAAAUAACGAGACGGUUCUCUAUGAGGUCCGUCAUCGGAAUGGGUACAAUUUAAACCCUUUAACGAGGAUCUAUUGGAGGGCAAGUCUGGUGCCAGCAGCCGCGGUAAUUCCAGCUCCAAUAGCGUAUAUUAAAGUUGUUGCGGUUAAAAAG
rnacentral:rRNA from 1 species